AGAUUGAACGCUGGCGGCAUGCCUUACACAUGCAAGUCGAACGGUAGAGUAGCAAUACUCGAGAGUGGCGAACGGGUGAGUAAUGUAUCGGAACGUGCCCAGUCGUGGGGGAUAACGCAGCGAAAGCUGCGCUAAUACCGCAUACGAUCUAUGGAUGAAAGCGGGGGACCGUAAGGCCUCGCGCGAUUGGAGCGGCCGAUAUCAGAUUAGGUAGUUGGUGGGGUAAAGGCUCACCAAGCCAACGAUCUGUAGCUGGUCUGAGAGGACGACCAGCCACACUGGGACUGAGACACGGCCCAGACUCCUACGGGAGGCAGCAGGUGGGAAUUUUGGACAAGUGGGCGCAAGCCUGAUCCAGCAAUGCCGCGUGCGAGGAAGAAGGCCGUUACGGGUUGUAAACGUGUCGUUUUUGUAACGGUAACCGAAACGGUCCUAGGUUAAUACCGUUGGGACUAAGUGAACCGGUAACGUAAAGAAUAACGCAACCGGCUAACGUACG
rnacentral:rRNA from 1 species